UUUGUGAUUUUGUUAAAAUUUCAGGUACCACUCACUCUCACAAAAAAUUUGUCAAAACUACACGGUACGAAGUAGAGCACCAGAUAAAAGAGUGGCUACGCCAUGCGAGGGACAGGGCAGAAAGAGCAAGUGUUCCUAGAAGGGUCCAGGCACAAUCAACAGCAUGAAUGCAGAUCUCUCCCAAGUUGUAAGAGUGCUCGACGGCCCACUAUGUCUCACGCCACCAGAGUUUGUUUUAGUUGUGUUUUUUUAGUUUUUGCUGCUGAAUGCGAAAGUUCUUGAGAGUGCUCGAGGCAUAUGCUAUAUAUCAGGGUGCAGCGCUAGUUUUUUUUUUUUCUUCUGUCAACUUAAGAAAGUUUUGAAACGUGCUCCAGCCUCACAUUGUCUUACCGGUUUCAUAUUUGUACUGCUCAGCCUGAGAAAAGUUUUUAAGUGUGCUCGAUGGCCCACCAUAUCUCACACCAUCAGAGUUUUAUUUGUGUUUUUUAGUUUGUGCUGCCCAAUGCGAAAGUUCUUAAGGGUGCUCGAGGCAAAUGUUUUUUAUCCGAAUCCAGCACUAGUCCAUUUUCACGUUCAUACGAAAGUUUUGAAAGGUGCACCAGCCUCACGUUGUCUGUUUCAUGUUCAUAUUACUGAGACUGAGAAAGUUUCUAAGAGUGCUCAAGGCUAACAUUUCCUUACCAGUUCCUCGUUAAUUUUGCUCAACUUGAGGAAGUGUGCUCCAUGGCCCAGUAUAUCUCACGCCACCAGAGCUAGUUUUAUUUCUGCUUUUAUAGUUUGUGCUGUCUCAUGCAAAAGUUCUUAUGGGUGCUCGAGGCAUAUAAUUAAUAUCUGAGUCCGGCGGUAGAAUUUUUUGUUCGGCUUAAAGUUUUGAAAGGUAGCUCUAGGCUAACGUUUUCUUACCAGUUGCGCACUAAUGUUGCCCAACUUGAGGAAGUUUGUAAAGGUGCUCGAGGCUAACGUUUUCUUACCAGUCUGCCGUUCUGCUCAACUUGAGAAAGGUAUGCAUUGAUAUUUUUGUAAUCAUUAACUUAUAUUAACGGAUAGCCUUUUUUUAGUUUUAAGGAUGCUGGAGCCUCUUAUGUCAAUCAUCAUUCAGUUCAGAAGUACAUCUCGUCGUGACGAAUCUACUCGCAACAGACGCCAGGAAGAGACACAGAAUACAAUGAAUGUCAUUUAGUGCAUAAGUGUGUAAUUUGACUCUGGAAACAUUAAUAAACGCAAUAUUUA